GGUCUAGAGCUCUAAAGAGUCCUGAUACGUUCUGUGUAUAGAAAGCUAUUUCUAUGGCUUUGUUUGAAGAUCCUUUGGUGACUUUCAGGGUCAGAUCUGGAGGUAUGAGACCGGAGUUGGGUGUGUGUUCAUGAAAUUCUAAGGUCUAGUCGAGGCAAAUGAUGGUCCACUUGAUGGUGUACCAAGUACCAGACUGGAACCACUCGGCAAGCAAGAGUUCAGACGCGUCACCAAGUCAGGUCCUGGUAACAGAGGCAAGGCCAGUGCCUCCAUCAUAAAUGACAUCAACUUGACCCUACAACAAUCAAACUGCAUGAGAAGAAGAUGUCGGUGACGCCAAACAAGAGUUGCUAAGAAACCCAGACCUGACAGAAUGAAUUGCCUGAAUGAACAACCAAGAGAGAGGGAUUUUUCACUAUUAUAAGUGAAACAGACAACCAGACAAAUCCCACGGCUGAGAAUGAGUGUUUGCUAACAUCCUGAAUGUAAUGUGAAAACCUCUUCAGCAUCUCUGAAACUGCUUUAGUAUUUGCCACCAACAAGGCUCACAGUGAAAAGCAGUUUUCAAAGUAACCUCAAAAGAACAAUAAAAAAACCCCAAACAAAAAGUAUGAGUGUCAAAAAACCCUAAUGAAAACAAGUUCAGAAGGAGCCUACAGUAGUUAGAGAAGGAUUUUGUGUGAGCAUGCAAGCUAAAGCAUGUGCAUUAGAGACAGGGAUAAGGAACAGAGAGUAAGGCAUUUCCUAUGACCAACCAAAGUAUACCCACUUAUACUUUAUCUGUGUGAGAUAGUUUCACAAGCUAUAGUUGCAUGAUGACAUCCCAUAUAUAUGCAAUAUGACUGAAGAGUGGGGAGAAGGCUAACCAUUUUUCAGAGAAAUACCUGUUUUGCUAUGCAUCCUCUCCAUCAACUGGUUAGAUGUGUCCCAUCAUCCCUAAUAAACUGCGGAUGGGGGUGAUGGUUGUUGUAAAUCAACAAUAUCUGGAGGAGCCAAGAUUGCCUACCCUUGUUUUAGUGGCUUCUAGCAAUGGGGACAUACAGAUCAAGGAAAUGAGUGGAAAUGCAUCUGCGAAAGAUCAUUGUCAUGUCAGUUCCCUUUUAGGUUAGUAGGCAUCCCUGCUCACCCCGCACUCUACAGAAGAAAACCACUAGACUAGCUUGUGGUUCCUACUGCCCAGUGGAAUAUCUGUCUACUGUGCUAAAGCAUAUAUGUAACAAACUUAAGAAAAGAAAGUGGGGGGGAGGCAUGCCCUCUUUCUUCUGCCACAUGGGCUUUUCAGGGGUGCAAGUUUGAGCGAUUGAGCUGAAAGCUGUUUGGUGAUGCCCUAAAUCUCCUGUAGGACUCUGUGGAGAGAAGCUUUGCCUUGUCUCCUUAGUUGGAUUCAAUGCCUAAAAUCUCAAAGUAAGUCUCUUUCCUGUCCUUUCCUGGAUUACAUUCCUUUGCAUGAACAUUUAAGGCACUAGAAGCACUUCCCUAAGCAGAUUCUCUCAUCUUCAUUUGUGACAUAAGCAAUAGACAGUAAUGUGCUCUGAUGUGUCAGGGAACCACUUUCUCCACAAGCAACUGACUUUAUGGACUAAUUUCAGCAUGCCCGCUGCCAGCUGCCUCAGAGCAAUUCAGAGCAGCCCUGAACUCCUACAACUCUACAGCGUUGUGGCUUGUUACCCUGCCCUAAAACUUCUAUCAUGACUAUAGUUGCCCCUGUAUGAUUGUGUCUUUUUAUAAUUUUUAUAAUUUUUAAUGCCUCUUAUAGGACUUUUUAAUGCAUUUUUGCCUCUUUCUAGAAUGCUCUUAAUUUUAUUUUUACUCCUGAUUUUUUAUAGCUUUUUAGUAUAUGCUUGUGUUUUUAUUCACCCACAGUCUUUGAAUAUUUACUCUUUUAUAACCACAGUUUUAUUUUGAAUUCUACUUCUAUUUCUGGCUUCUUAUAGACUUAAAAUAGGUUUAUAUCUUGUAUUUAAUAAUCUAUACACAGGCUUUUAGUAUUUGUUUUAUUAAAAUA